GCCCUUAGAGUUUGAUCAUGGCUCAGAUUGAACGCUGGCGGUAUGCUUAACACAUGCAAGUCGAACGCGAACGUUUCUUCGGAAACAAGUAGAGUGGCGGACGGGUGCGUAACGCGUAGGGAUCUGCCUAGUAGUGGGGGACAACUUGGGGAAACUCAAGCUAAUACCGCAUACGCCCUAAGGGGGAAAGCAUGGGAUCUUCGGACCAUGUGCUAUUAGAUGAACCUGCGUCGGAUUAGCUAGUUGGUGAGGUAAAGGCUCACCAAGGCGACGAUCCGUAGCUGGUCUGAGAGGAUGAUCAGCCACACUGGGACUGAGACACGGCCCAGACUCCUACGGGAGGCAGCAGUGGGGAAUAUUGGACAAUGGGGGCAACCCUGAUCCAGCAAUACCGCGUGUGUGAAGAAGGCCUGAGGGUUGUAAAGCACUUUCAGUAGGGAGGAAGGCUGAGUAGUUAAUAGCUGCUUGGAUUGACGUUACCUACAGAAGAAGCACCGGCUAACUCCGUGCCAGCAGCCGCGGUAAUACGGGGGGUGCAAGCGUUAAUCGGAAUUACUGGGCGUAAAGCGCGCGUAGGCGGUUUGUUCAGUCGGAUGUGAAAGCCCAGGGCUCAACCUUGGAACUGCAUUCGAUACUGGCAAGCUAGAAUGUGAGAGAGGAUAGUGGAAUUUCCGGUGUAGCGGUGAAAUGCGUAGAUAUCGGAAGGAACAUCAGUGGCGAAGGCGACUGUCUGGCUCAACACUGACGCUGAGGUGCGAAAGCGUGGGGAGCAAACAGGAUUAGAUCCCCUGGUAGUCCACGCCGUAAACGAUGUCAACUAGCCGUUGGGAGACUUGAUCUCUUAGUGGCGCAGCUAACGCGAUAAGUUGACCGCCUGGGGAGUACGGCCGCAAGGUUAAAACUCAAAUGAAUUGACGGGGGCCCGCACAAGCGGUGGAGCAUGUGGUUUAAUUCGAUGCAACGCGAAGAACCUUACCAAUCCUUGACAUCCUCAGAACUUGUAAGAAAUUACUUGGUGCCUUCGGGAACUGAGUGACAGGUGCUGCAUGGCUGUCGUCAGCUCGUGUUGUGAAAUGUUGGGUUAAGUCCCGUAACGAGCGCAACCCUUAUCCUUAUUUGCCAGCACGUCAUGGUGGGAACUCUAAGGAGACUGCCGGUGACAAACCGGAGGAAGGUGGGGACGACGUCAAGUCAUCAUGGCCCUUACGACCUGGGCUACACACGUGCUACAAUGGGAGGUACAGAGGGAAGCGAAGCCGCGAGGUGAAGCUAAUCCCAGAAAACCGAUCGUAGUCCGGAUUGGAGUCUGCAACUCGACUCCAUGAAGUCGGAAUCGCUAGUAAU
rnacentral:rRNA from 1 species